UAGUAAACACCUCGUUGUAAGGAUCAAAAGGCAAAGAGUCCGGUUCCUCUAGCGGGCAAGCCGGAGGGGAUUCACGAGGAAAAGGCGCGCUCUAAAGUUCUCAGGUACCCAAGUAACGGAUGAAGAUCAAGCAAGCGAGCCGAACCGAACACACAAUCUUUUAGAACGCUUCCGCAAUUAUGACUUUUGUUUUAGAUACUAAGUAAACUAAUGGUAGUUACCUUCUUGU